ACCAUGCCAUGCUUAGUACGGCGAGUGAGCGGCAAAAGCUCAAAUUUGAAAUCUGGCACUUUCAGUGUCCGAGUUGUAAUUUGAAGAAGGUAACUUUGGAGUUGGCCCUUGUCUAUGUUCCUUGGAACAGGACGUCACAGAGGGUGAGAAUCCCGUGCGAUGAGGUGUCCAAUUCUAUGUAAAGUGCUUUCGAAGAGUCGAGUUGUUUGGGAAUGCAGCUCUAAGUGGGUGGUAAAUUCCAUCUAAAGCUAAAUAUUGGCGAGAGACCGAUAGCGAACAAGUACAGUGAUGGAAAGAUGAAAAGAACUUUGAAAAGAGAGUGAAAAAGUACGUGAAAUUGUUGAAAGGGAAGGGCUUGAGAUCAGACUCGGUAUUUUGCAAGCCUAUCCUUCGUGGAGAGGUUUAUUAGCAGCUUACCGGGCCAGCAUCGGUUUGGAUGGUAGGAUAAUGGCAUUGGAAUGUGGCUCCUCGGAGUGUUAUAGCCUUUGUUGAUACUGCCUAUCUAGACCGAGGACUGCGUCUUUGACUAGGAUGCUGGCGUAAUGAUCUUAAGCCGCCCGUCUUGA
rnacentral:rRNA from 2 species